UGGGGAAUUUUGGACAAUGGGCGAAAGCCUGAUCCAGCCAUGCCGCGUGCAGGAUGAAGGCCUUCGGGUUGUAAACUGCUUUUGUACGGAACGAAAAGACUCUGGUUAAUACCUGGGGUCCAUGACGGUACCGUAAGAAUAAGCACCGGCUAACUACGUGCCAGCAGCCGCGGUAAUACGUAGGGUGCAAGCGUUAAUCGGAAUUACUGGGCGUAAAGCGUGCGCAGGCGGUUAUAUAAGACAGAUGUGAAAUCCCCGGGCUCAACCUGGGAACUGCAUUUGUGACUGUAUAGCUAGAGUACGGCAGAGGGGGGAUGGAAUUCCGCGUGUAGCAGUGAAAUGCGUAGAUAUGCGGAGGAACACCGAUGGCGAAGGCAAUCCCCUGGGCCUGUACUGACGCUCAUGCACGAAAGCGUGGGGGAGCAAACAGGAUUAGAUACCCUGGUAGUCCACGCCCUAAACGAUGUCAACUGGUUGUUGGGUCUUCACUGACUCAGUAACGAAGCUAACGCGUGAAGUUG
rnacentral:rRNA from 1 species